ensembl:lncRNA
GCUCUAAUGGUUCAUCCAUUUUGCUGUGCUUUGUUUUUAGUGAUUUUUGUCACUUUACCGAGUAAUGUUUUGCUGUUUAUUGCUAUUUUUAUAUUUCAAUUGUUCAUUUUUCUCUUUAAUUUCUCAAUUUUUUUGUUGUUAGAAUAAAUAACAUUUCCACUAAAUUCCCCCAGGAAAUUUAUUUUGUGGUCCGUAUGUUAAGACCUUUUUUUGCUGGCUCUCUUUGCUGGAUGAGUUUCAUCUGUUACCACACACAUUGCCCUCUUUUCAAAGCAAACUGAGCCGGAGGGAACUUCUUACGCUGCUUUUAUUCACCUGCUGGUCAGCCCUUAUUUGUAUGCCAGGCAGGGAACCUUUUAAGGAAAACAAGAAACCAUUUGAAGGUGAAACAUCUUGUGUUUUUUGGCUCCACGAACUGACUCUCCAUCAGGGCGACAGGAAGUCCACAAAGGGGCCACAGUUCUUUGCCCCCCAAAGACACUCACAAACAUGGGCAGGUCACACAGGGCCACACACUGAACUUCUCCACUCCCCUCUUACCAAAGGAAAUGUGACCCCUGAUUUUUUUUUCUGACCACUCAGGCUUUAUUCGAUUUGCUCCCUGUGUACAUAUUAAAAUGACAUUACUGAUAUAUCUAUACAUCUCUUGUCAUUACAAUAAUUCAUCGACAUUGCUCUUACACAAACACUACAAUAUUAGUCAUAAAUCCUCAAAAGGUAGAGACGUGCAUAACGAAAUUGCCUCAUAAAAUGUCUGUACACUCCUUUUUUUGUGGAAAUUGUUUUGUUACAGCGAGAUAUUUGUCUGUUGUUUUAACACAAGCAAAACGUUUAUCUGAGAGUCAGGAAAAUUUUGUUUUGACUUAGCAGCAGUUAUCUGAAGAAAGAGUUGUAUCAAUGUGGAAAAGCAUAACUAGAAUGCAGAGAAAGUCCCAAAACAUGCAGAUGCAUCACAGCCCUACGACAUUUGAGCACUGUAUUUUUUUAGACAGAGAAAAUCAAGCAGAAUUGCACAGAUAUCAAACCAAUGUUCUUUUCAGUAAAAGUAGCAGUUGUGUGUUUCACAAUGUCAAGGAUUUUAAGGCUAUGAGCCGCAUAAACAUAGGACAUGGGGGCUCCUAAAACCACCGUCCCAAUAGUCAUCACUUUGCAUAGGUGUUUGUUAAAAAAUGAAAAUAUUCAAGUUGUGAAUUCUGUGAACAAAACGUUGAAUAAUUUAAUUCAUAGCUCCUCACCCUAUAAAGAAAACUUUACUUGUUUUGGGAGGAAGUGGGGGAAGUGAGAAGGUAGAGGAAAUAAGAAAAAGUUUGUCCAGCCCCGAAAAUGCUUUUUUUGUUAUUGUGACUGCAUCAGUAGAUUUCCUUUGUGUCUUUUCAUGAUGAUUCUG